CCCAAUUAAGAUACUCUUCCCAAAUCAUUCAUGGAGGAAUGUUUAGACAAAUUUAUCUUUACUUAUUGUAGCAUUGGUAUGUAAUUCCUUAUCCAUAGUACAUCAACAUAUAAUACUAGGAAUGUCAAGGCGCUCCCACUGACCCUUUUGUACACACUAGGUUCAUUCUUGUUUUUGAUAAAAUUAAACUCUUUUGAUUGUCUCAUCAAAAUGAAUGUUCCAUUUUUGAGAAACUUGUUUCAAUACAUUUCUUUGAGUGUCUAAAACUCUUACCUCAUCAUAUGUAACUGGAUCAUCAUCUUCUAUGAUGCGUACCUCAUCAUCAUAAUCCAUGAUGAAU
rnacentral:lncRNA from 1 species